GGCCGAGUGGUGUAGUUGGUUAUCACGUUUCGUUAACACUGUUAGCGCCGAAAAGGUCCUGAGUUCGAGUCUCAGCUUGGUCA